rnacentral:rRNA from 1 species
AGGAUKAYUANUSVASKAYUANUSAGUVAGUUGCCUAAUACAUGCAAGUCGAACGAACUCUGGUAUUGAUUGGUGCUUGCAUCAUGAUUUACAUUUGAGUGAGUGGCGAACUGGUGAGUAACACGUGGGAAACCUGCCCAGAAGCGGGGGAUAACACCUGGAAACAGAUGCUAAUACCGCAUAACAACUUGGACCGCAUGGUCCGAGCUUGAAAGAUGGCUUCGGCUAUCACUUUUGGAUGGUCCCGCGGCGUAUUAGCUAGAUGGUGGGGUAACGGCUCACCAUGGCAAUGAUACGUAGCCGACCUGAGAGGGUAAUCGGCCACAUUGGGACUGAGACACGGCCCAAACUCCUACGGGAGGCAGCAGUAGGGAAUCUUCCACAAUGGACGAAAGUCUGAUGGAGCAACGCCGCGUGAGUGAAGAAGGGUUUCGGCUCGUAAAACUCUGUUGUUAAAGAAGAACAUAUCUGAGAGUAACUGUUCAGGUAUUGACGGUAUUUAACCAGAAAGCCACGGCUAACUACGUGCCAGCAGCCGCGGUAAUACGUAGGUGGCAAGCGUUGUCCGGAUUUAUUGGGCGUAAAGCGAGCGCAGGCGGUUUUUUAAGUCUGAUGUGAAAGCCUUCGGCUCAACCGAAGAAGUGCAUCGGAAACUGGGAAACUUGAGUGCAGAAGAGGACAGUGGAACUCCAUGUGUAGCGGUGAAAUGCGUAGAUAUAUGGAAGAACACCAGUGGCGAAGGCGGCUGUCUGGUCUGUAACUGACGCUGAGGCUCGAAAGUAUGGGUAGCAAACAGGAUUAGAUACCCUGGUAGUCCAUACCGUAAACGAUGAAUGCUAAGUGUUGGAGGGUUUCCGCCCUUCAGUGCUGCAGCUAACGCAUUAAGCAUUCCGCCUGGGGAGUACGGCCGCAAGGCUGAAACUCAAAGGAAUUGACGGGGGCCCGCACAAGCGGUGGAGCAUGUGGUUUAAUUCGAAGCUACGCGAAGAACCUUACCAGGUCUUGACAUACUAUGCAAAUCUAAGAGAUUAGACGUUCCCUUCGGGGACAUGGAUACAGGUGGUGCAUGGUUGUCGUCAGCUCGUGUCGUGAGAUGUUGGGUUAAGUCCCGCAACGAGCGCAACCCUUAUUAUCAGUUGCCAGCAUUAAGUUGGGCACUCUGGUGAGACUGCCGGUGACAAACCGGAGGAAGGUGGGGAUGACGUCAAAUCAUCAUGCCCCUUAUGACCUGGGCUACACACGUGCUACAAUGGAUGGUACAACGAGUUGCGAACUCGCGAGAGUAAGCUAAUCUCUUAAAGCCAUUCUCAGUUCGGAUUGUAGGCUGCAACUCGCCUACAUGAAGUCGGAAUCGCUAGUAAUCGCGGAUCAGCAUGCCGCGGUGAAUACGUUCCCGGGCCUUGUACACACCGCCCGUCACACCAUGAGAGUUUGUAACACCCAAAGUCGGUGGGGUAACCUUUUAGGAACCAGCCGCCUAAGGUGGGACAGAUGAUUAGGGGUGAAGUCGUAACAAGGUAGCCGUAGGAGAACCUGCGGUGG